rnacentral:rRNA from 1 species
UACAGAGGUCUCGAGCGUUGUUCGGAUUCAUUGGGCGUAAAGGGUGCGUAGGCGGCGAGGUAAGUCGGGUGUGAAAUUCCGGGGCUCAACCCCGGAACUGCACUCGAUACUGCUUUGCUCGAGGACUGGAGAGGAGAACGGAAUUCACGGUGUAGCAGUGAUAUGCGUAGAUAUCGUGAGGAAGACCGGUGGCGAAGGCGGUUCUCUGGACAGUUCCUGACGCUGAGGCACGAAGGCUAGGGGAGCGAACGGG